rnacentral:rRNA from 1 species
GUAAGGAAUAUUGCGCAAUGGAGGCAACUCUGACGCAGCCAUGCCGCGUGCAGGAAGAAGGCGCUACGCGUUGUAAACUGCUUUUAACCGGGAAGAAACCCCAGGACGUGUCCUGGGUUGACGGUACCGGAGGAAUAAGCACCGGCUAACUUCGUGCCAGCAGCCGCGGUAAUACGAAGGGUGCAAGCGUUAUCCGGAUUCAUUGGGUUUAAAGGGUGCGUAGGCGGAGCGUUAAGUCAGUGGUGAAAUCCUGCAGCUUAACUGUAGACUUGCCAUUGAUACUGGCGCUCUUGAGUGCGCUUGAAGUGGGCGGAAUGUGCCGUGUAGCGGUGAAAUGCUUAGAUAUGGCACAGAACACCAAUUGCGAAGGCAGCUCACUAAGGCGAUACUGACGCUGAGGCACGAAAGCGUGGGGAUCGAACAGGAUUAGAAACCCGAGUAGUCC